UGAACAAUUUAACAUAAUUAUGUGGUAAAUACUUUUUUUAAUAGAAAUACUAAAAUUAAAUUAUAGUACUAUAGAAUUAAUUAAAUAUAUUCUUUGGAUAAACUGUAUAAUUAGUUCACAAUGAGUUAUGUAUAUGUAUAUUCAUUUAUGUGUAUAGAUGAAUAUUUGUAUUAUUAAUAUUGCAGUUAAGUUUCCAGGUUAAAUUGGUGUUUUAUUAACAAUGACUUCAAUACUUGAUCAGUUCGAACAAGGCAUAGAAAAUACAUUAAAGCCACUAUUAAAAUCUCAGCAAUUGUUAGAUGGGCUCUUAGAAGAUGAAUUAAAUUUAAAUACAAUUUCAAUGUUGUCCAAAAAAAAAGUAAAUUUUUCACCAAAUGAAAAAAUAACUCAUUUAUUAGUAAAUAAUGAUUAUGUGGUACUAGCUAUGAUUAACAAUGUGUUGUUAAGAAUUGACUUAAGAAAAGAUAAUAUUGAAGAAAUUGAUACUUUGAGAACAUCUUCCCUCAAGGUGAGGCAGAUAUUUCUUGAUCCUUUUGCAGAACAUAUGAUUAUUACUUGUGGUAAUACAAGUAAUUCACAAUUAUUUUAUUCAAAUAGACAAUUUACAAAACUUAAGACGGUUGGAAAAUAUCAAGGAAGUGAAAUAACUUGUGUAGCAUGGAACUGUGAUAUUAAAGUUAAAUCAACCACUAGUACUACAGGUCCUAUCUUACUUGGGAAUUCCUCUGGUACAAUAAUCGAAACACAGCUAGGAACAGAAUUUGAUAGAUUUUUUCAAGGGAGUGUUAUGCAGUAUUGGAAAGAGGUAUUUGAUAUAAGUAAAGGACAACCAACUCCAAUUAUUAGUAUUGAAUACCAUAGAUAUGGUAAUACAGAUAUAUUUUAUAUUCUUGUAAUUUCAUCCUCUAAACUUUAUCAAUUUGUUGGUUCAGUUCUAAAUAAAGAUGAAAGACCUAUGUUGCAACAAGUAUUUAAUAAUUAUUUAGCUAUUCCAGAACGUUUUAAUGAUGUGCCACCAGUUUUGAAGCACAGUAAAUUGCAUUUUUAUCACCCUAAAAAUGAAUUUACUAUGCCAAAAUAUUUUGGUUUUCUUACAGAAUUGGGUGUAUUUUUUGCUGAGAUUAAUAUAAAUAAAAAAAAUAAAACUGUAUUUAACUCUCAUAAAUUGAUUGAGUACAGUCGUUUAUAUGGUAGAGAAGAUGAUGAUUUCUCUGUCCCAAUAUCCAUGACUUUUACUCAGUAUCAUGUUUUGCUUUUAUACUCUAAUAAAGUAAUAGCAGUAUCAUUAGAAUCUCCUGCGACACCAUAUGCAUCUCAGGUGAUGGAUGAAGAUUAUUAUUCUCAAACUCAUGGGAAACUUCUAAAUAUUACAAAAGACUUGAUAUCUGGUAUAGUAUGGUUGUAUUCUGAACAUGCUGUUUUUAGAUAUAAGCUACAAAAAGAAGAUCGUUAUAUUUGGAAAAUUUAUAUAGAUAAAGGUAGGUUUGAAGAAGCCAGAGAAAUUUGUCAAAAUAACCCAUUUAGAAUGAAUCAAGUACUAGUAAGACAAGCAAAUAAUUAUUUUGACACUAAACAAUAUGAGAAAAGUGCAAUGGUAUAUGCAAACUUAAAUAUAUCCUUUGAAGAAAUUGUGUUAAAAUUUUUGUAUUUGAAGGAUAAAAAGCCCAUAAAACUAUUUUUAAUGAAGAAAUUAGAAAGUUUAAAACCUAAAGAUUGUACUCAAAUAACUAUGAUAACAUUAUGGUCAAUAGAGUUAUUUGCAAAUGAAUUGGCUUCAUUAAGAAACUAUGGUCAAGAAAAUUUUGAAUCAUACAUCAAGUUACAAGAAGAAUUCAAAAACUUUUUAUUAUGCCCUAUAAUUCAAGAUUGUAUUAGAAAAAAUUGGGAAAGUAUUUAUGAUAUAUUGGCUAGUCAUGGCGAUGACCAUUUUAUGUUAUGGUUAUCACUUGAUAAUCAAGACUAUAAGCGAGUUAUUCAACAUUAUUUAAAUGAAGAUUGUAUAAUUGAAGCAUUGAAUAUUCUAGAACGUCAUCCUUAUAGUGAUUUAUUUUUGUUGUUUUUGCCAGACUUGGUUGAAAAGGCUCCAACACAAACUAUUUCUUUAUUAAUUAAACAAGGCCAAAAAUUAGAUCCUAUGAAAAUUUUUAAUUCAUUGAUCGUUUCAAAUCCAAAUGAACAACUUGCUUUGGAAAUAAUCAGAUACUUGGAAUUCUGUGUUCAUUGUUUAAACUGCAACUCUGAAUCAAUUCAUAAUUAUUUAUUAUUAUUAUAUAUUAAAUAUAAUAACGAUAAAUUAAUGAAUUAUUUAAAACUGCAAGGUCAAGACAUGACAGCUGUUAGUUACAAUCCUAAAUUUGCUCUAAGACUGUGUCGUGAACAUAAUCUACUAGAAGCAUGUGUUCAAUUAUCAAUUGUAUUAGGAUUGUGGGAAGCUGCCGUUGAUUUAGCUUUGUUAAUUAAUGUAGAUUUAGCUAAAUCCACAGCUUCUUUACCAAAUAAUAAUCAAGAGCUAUCUAAAAAACUUUGGUUAAAAAUUGCACAACACGUUGUAAGAAAAAAAAAUGAUAUUGCACAAGCUAUGAAAUUUUUGGAAGAAUGCAAAUUUAUUAAAAUAGAAGAUAUCUUACCAUUUUUUCCAGAUUUUGUAACAAUAGAUCAUUUUAAAGAUGCUGUGUGUUUGUCUUUAAAAGAAUAUAAUAAUGAAAUACAAAAUCUUAAAGAAGAAAUGGAAGAUUCUAUAAAAGCAGCUGAAACUAUAAGAUCAGAAAUUAUAUCAUUUAAAAAUAGUUUAAUGCUUAUUCAGCCCACAAAUUUGUGUAGUAGCUGUAAAGAACAAUUAAUUACAAAGGCAUAUUAUGUGUUUCCAUGUUCGCAUUAUUUUCAUGUAGAUUGUUUAAUUAAAGAAAUGCAACCAUAUGUUGAGUUAAACACUAUGAACACUAUUUAUGACUUACAGAAAAAGUUGAGUAAUCUUUACCAAAAUAUAAAAAGUGAUUCACCAUCUUCAGAAAUUAUUAUUCAGCGGGAUAAAAUUAAAGAGUCACUGGAUAAUAUUUUAGCAACUGAUUGUAUAUUUUGUGGUGAUAUAAUGAUUAAUUUGAUUGAUAAACCAUUUAUUGAAGAUGAUGAAUUUGAAAAAAUUAAACAAGAAUGGGAAUGAAAAGAUAGCUAGAAGACCAAAUUGAUGCACUCGUUUGUUAGAACAACUCAUUAUUCAUCUCACAAAAUUUUUUAUCUACUUAUUAAUAGGACUAAUUUUUCUUUAUAAAUGCCUUAUCGAUAAAUUUGAUGAACAUUUGCAAUAAAUUAUUGUCAAUAAUACAUUCUAUUAACAUGAUUCGUACUAAGAUCAUUCAUAUUAACAAUUAAAUUUAAAGUCGUUCAACAAUAAACAUUAUAAUAAAUAAAUAAACAAUUGAUACUAGAAUGUCCUAUUAGGUGCGUAAUGUGACGCGCACAGUCGAUUAAUCAGUCACCGCUUUAGUGAUGUUCAGCUACACUGUUGGUUCCCAGAUGGUCUUUACUAUUAGAAAAUUUAAAUGUGUAUUCAAACGGUCACUUUAACUACAUCCUGAAAGCAAUCUACUAGGAUUAUUAUAAAACCAAUUAAAGUUUUUGAAGAAAUCAAUCUAUGAUGGAAGCCUUUGAAAAAGUAUUAAAAAUUGUUAAAGUACUGGAACCGGAUCUAGUAGGCAUAGAAAAUUAUAUAGUAGAUUUAGCAGUAGUAUCUGAUAUAGUUCCCAUUCAAAUAAUGGCAGGAAGAAUAUCUGAACUUCGUUGACUUCAGAAAGCUAUUAUAGAUGCGGAUAAACAUGAAGUGAACAACAUGAUUUGGAAAUAGUGGCAAGAGUGGAUAGACAGACAUGUGAACUAAGAAAUAAAACUUACUACUACAUUCAUUUGACACUGUUUUCUUAACAUAAUUACAAAGAUGAAGAGUUUUAUCCCAAGGUACAGAUGUUUCAAAUGAUUCAGCUACAACAUUAUAUUCAAGAGCUAGAUCCUGACAUAAAUUACAUAUUUGCAUAAAUAUAAAUCUUAAAUACUCUUUAUAAAUUACAUACACGUAUAUAAGCAAUUACAAAUGUUAGCAUGUAUCCCAUUUUACCAAUUUUUUCACCACUAUUAAUACCACCAAAUAAUGUUGCUAUAUGAGAGAUUCGAUUCUUAUGUAAAUUUACUUCUUCACGAGAGCCUAGAAAUAUAAUAAAUUUAACUAAAAAUAAUAACAAAGAAAAAGAACUUACUACAUAAUUUUGCUAUACAAGCUACAUUCAGGGUAUUAUGUGAUUAUACCUAGAAAAUUCAUAUGAAUCUGGUUCAUGUCCACAUGUAAAACCUAGUUUUUUAAGUUCUCGUUCCAAAUCUUGACCAACAAUACCAGCUUCAAAACAAGCAAUUAAAUUUGAUUCAUCUAACCAUAAUAAUUUGUUCUAUAAUUAUGUAAUGUUACUGCUCCAGAUACGCUAGUACCUCCUCCAUAUGGUAUUAAAGCAACAUUAUAAUUAUUAGCUAAUUCUACUAAGGUGAUGACAUUUUCAUGGUUCACUUAAAAAAGGUUAAUAUCCAAUAAUUGAUUAAUGAUAUUUAAGUUAAAUGUCCUCUUGUAUAAGUUAGUUGUAGUAAAAA